UACACGUGGACAUAUUUUGCUAGACUCUACCGAAAACUAAAAGUAACUUUCUAAAAAUGUUAAAUAAACGUAAAAAAACACUUUAUCUUUGGAAACCAUAGUAAAGAUAUUGGAAAAGCUGAACAAAGGAGUUCAAGGGAGUCGUCUAGCGCUAGAUUUCAAUGUGAGCAAAUCUGCCAUCAGCUAUAUCAAGUCAAAUAGAUCAUCUAUAUUAAAUGCUGUUUCCAACACUUAUCAGGAAGCAAAAAAUAAAACUAUGCAUAGUGCGAAUUCCCGAAAAUGGAAAGUCGUCUUUAUGAGUGGUUUUUAAAACAACGGGAAAGGAAGUGUACAUUGACAGCAACAAUAUUAAAGGAAAAAGCUGAACAAAUGUUUGGUGAAGAAUACUCCGAUAAAAAUAAAAAUGCAUUCCGAGCAAGCGAUGGUUUAUUAAAUUUAAAAAGCGACACGGCAUUCGUUUUUUAAAAAUUGGUGACGAGAUUCUUUCUAGUGAUAUUGCCUCGAUCACUCCAUUUAUUCACAGAUUCCGCGCAAAAGUCACUGAGAUGGGAUUAAUAGAGUCUCAAUUAUAUAAUGUGGACGAAACCGGAUUAUUUUAUCGUUGCCUACCAGAUAAAACAUAUGUCUCUGCUUGUGAAAAAAGUGCGCCUGGAUACAAAAGUCAAAAAGAACGAAUUUCAAUUUUACUUGGUUCAAAUGCUGAUGGCUCUCACAAAUUAGUGCCCUUAGUUAUUGGAAAAGCCAAAAAUCCCAGGAGCUUCAAAGGUUUUAAUAAUCCACUUCAUUACAACUUUUCCAAAAAUGCUUGGAUGACGUCUCGGAUCUUUCGUGAUUGGUUUCACAAGAUAUUUAUUAAUUAAGUCAUCCAGUUUUCUCAAAAAAAUAACUUGCCUCCGAAGGCUCUUUUACUUAUUGAUAACUGCUCCGCGCAUGCACCAAUUGAGCAUCUUCAAAGCAAAGAUGGCAACAUAGUUGCAUAUUUCUUGCCGCCAAAUGUAACAGCAGCUGUGCAACCAAUUGAUCAAAAUCCCGUAAAGUUAACUAAACUUGUUAACAGAAGUAAGUUACUUGCUGCAAUAAUAGCUGAAGGUGGUGCACUGAAUAGUCUGUUGAAAUCCCACUCCAUCCGAAAGGCAAUAAUAUUUCUGAAACAAGCUUGGGAUGAGAUAACGCAAACGGUGAUGAGGAAUUCUUGGACAAAGUUGUUAAAUUGGGACUCUGACCAAUACGACAGCGAUGAUGAUGUGCCACUAGCACAGUUACUUAACAAAAAUGAGGACUGCAAUGAAGCUCUCCAAGUAAAUCAAACUCUUUUAGCAGAAAUUGAUCCAAACAAUUCCAUGUGUAUUGUUGGCAUCGAGAAAUAGAAUGGAGAUGAGUUUGAAGAUGGAACUGGUUACGACCUAAGUAGCGAUGAUGAGUUUUCUGAUAGCAGUGAAGACGAUGUUGUUGAGAACAUACCAGUUAUUUCAAAUACUAUAGCUAUUGAAAGCGUUAACAAUUUAAUAAAUUAGUGCAACAAGAGUGAAUUGUCUUCCAGUAAACAUAUAGCCAAUCUUUUGGCCCUCCGUAACGAUAUUGCUAUAUCGGAUUUAAAGAAACCAAAAAAACAAA